UUGAGGCUUGGUGGUGCUUGGGAAGCAAAAAACAAAAAGGUUAUGGUGGGGAAAAAAAAAAAAAUCACAAUUCUUUCCCCAUUAUAACCUUUUUGGUUUUUACUUCCCAAGCACCACCAAGCCUCCA